rnacentral:rRNA from 1 species
GAACGGGUGAGUAACACGUGGGCAACCUGCCCAAAAGAGGGGGAUAACACUUGGAAACAGGUGCUAAUACCGCAUAACCAUAGUUACCGCAUGGUAACUAUGUAAAAGGUGGCUAUGCUACCGCUUUUGGAUGGGCCCGCGGCGCAUUAGCUAGUUGGUGGGGUAAAGGCUUACCAAGGCAAUGAUGCGUAGCCGAACUGAGAGGUUGAUCGGCCACAUUGGGACUGANACACGGCCCAAACUCCUACGGGAGGCAGCAGUAGGGAAUCUUCCACAAUGGGCGAAAGCCCGAUGGAGCAACGCCGCGUGGGUGAAGAAGGUCUUCGGAUCGUAAAACCCUGUUGUUAGAGAAGAAAGUGCGUGAGAGUAACUGUUCACGUUUCGACGGUAUCUAACCAGAAAGCCACGGCUAACUACGUGCCAGCANCCGCGGUAAUACGUAGGUGGCAAGCGUUAUCCGGAUUUAUUGGGCGUAAAGGGAACGCAGGCGGUCUUUUAAGUCUGAUGUGAAAGCCUUCGGCUUAACCGGAGUAGUGCAUUGGAAACUGGGAGACUUGAGUGCAGAAGAGGANAGUGGAACUCCAUGUGUAGCGGUGAAAUGCGUAGAUAUAUGGAA